UAGCUACGUAUGGACGGGAUAAUUGCUGAAAGCAUCUAAGCGAGAAACCCCCCUCAAGAUUAGAUUUCCCCAUUAGGGCCGUGAGAGACUAUCACGUUGAUAGGCCGGGUGUGUAAGUGCGGUAACGUAUUUAGCUGACCGGUACUAAUAGCCCGAUUGGUUUA
rnacentral:rRNA from 1 species